UUGACAGUUAAAUUCAUGUAAGGUAGAGUUAAUUCAGUUGUCCCUAAUUUCUAAUUUCUUAUAUUUUAGUUGUUUAUUGCAUUAGUAGCUCAUCAUGGAGAAAUUAUUUUCUUUUAUAGAAUUCCCCAAAAAAUAUCUAAUGCACUUAAAAAAUAAGAUAAAAUAUUAGAACAUAGAACGAACCUUUCACUUUUCAGAUAAACGCAGUAAACAUAAUCUAUUGUGGUAAAUUUUCAAGUACAUAUAAAGAGAUUGAAAGUAUUUACUAUGUGUCACUCUGAAAUCGGAUUCUGCCUUCUUUCGUGAACAUACAUUAAUGUGGUUUUGUAUAUAAAGAACCAGUUUGACCACUCCUAAGAAUUAUUCAGACACGAUUUUAUAUUCAGUCUUUUUGGAAGUCUUACCUUUGAUUUUGUAUCUACCGUUUAUUAGUCGAACUAGUCUUUUGAGUCUUUGACAGUGAUCAAUAUAGGGUUCAACUAGUAUAUUAAGAUUAGUGGUUAAGUUAUUUGUCAACUUAGUAUCACGUAUCCAGUCCAGGUUAACCUAGUCAAUCUACAGCUUUUGUAAUAAUACCAAAUUGAUUUCUCAUUUUGGGAGUUAAUUUCUGCUGGUUUGUUCCAUUUUUGAUAAGCAUUAGAUACUAACUGAUAAAAAAAGUGUCCUCAUGCUUGUUAAUCCAUGUUCUUGGGUUGUGGAGGAUUUUUUAUGUUCUAGUCCAUGGCUCAUUCUUCUUCCCUUCUUUUUAUGUUUAAAUGGCUGUGUUUAAGCUAACAACUUUAUCAUAUUGUUAUUAUAAUUAAUCAAGUUAUAAUGGAUGGAUUUAACAAUGGCUAAUAAAAGAGCUCCAACUUUGAUAGAGGUAUGGGAUAGGACCCACUACAAGGAACAGGGUAAUGGAGUUUAUAUCAACUCUCGUGCUAAGGAGAUUAUAGUAAACUUUUUUUAUUAGCUUCUGAUAUAGAUUAUAAGAUUACAUGAUUUUUUUUUUCAUUCAAAUCAAUGAUUACUUUUUUUAUUAGCUUCUGAUAUGAUGAUUUUGUUUUUCAUUCAAAUCAAUAAUAUUGAUUAUAAGAUUACCUAGGCUUGAGGCCCAUCUAGGUGCAAGGUUGACGCCUUGCCUUACUUAAGUCCUAGCAGCUUCAGUGAGGCACGCACUUUAGGGUCCUAGGUGCACGAUGCCCUCGCUUCUUUGAAGUAAAACCCAAUUAGUAUCAGCUUCUAAUCUAAUAUCACCUGAGCCACUCAUAUUUACCUAGACCGGUGUUACAUGGACUCUUCUGUUGAGGGUACAUUUUUACCAAAUCUAUAAUAUAUAAAUCAUCACGUUAAUAGACCACACUAAUUAUCUUUUAUAUUCAGAUUACAGAACAUAGAUAUUAAAACGAAGUAGGACACGGAAUCCCUCAAAAUAUACAAGUGAGAAAAGAAAGAAAAAUUAAUGAAACUCGGCCAUGCUCAAAGCUAGAUAUCUGCAUCUUGCUGCUUUUGCAUUAUCCUAGACAAAUUUUUAAACGUCCUAGUUGUUAAAAUUAAGAAACAUUUUAAUUUUUACCUGUAUAGUGUUUGAUAAUGACUGGUGAAAGUAAAACUCGUGAUCAAUAUGUUAAACUAGAUGAACUAGUUUCUAGGUAUUUCUUUAUUGGGUACUAGAUGUUAUAUCCUACUAAAGAUCUCUCUUUCUACCACUCAAAAAUCUGCUGUUGAUAAAGAUUCUAAUUCUUUUAUGCAAACUAAUUUCUCUGAACAAUAUUAAAACCUCCAUAACCAUAUGUUCCCAAUGGUAUGUUUUCCUUGUCAUAGUCUUCAGAUUUUCACCUAUGAAAAUUCAUAUCCUAAAUUUGGUCGUGUGACAGAGAGUAGCUGGGAGUUUCAAUAUAUUAGUUUCAGUAAGAUAAAAGACUAUCUUCUGUAAAUAAGUAAAUAAAAAAUGUUGUAGAAAGUUCAGGUUCUCAGAAAAUCCCAUCUAAAAUGUCAAAAGAUCAAAAUUAACCUUGAUAGCAAUUUUCUUUUGUUAUAUCAGUUUUCUUUUUUGGAAGAUAAAAGGAGAGAAGUAAGCUGAAGGUGUCAACUUUUUGCAGACUUGCACUCUAUUUGCCAUCCUUGACCUUUAUCCUAUUUUUGGAUAAGAACUGAUUGGGCCUACCUGAAUACUUAGCUUUAGUUGGAUUUGUGGGUGGUGGAACCCAUACCUUUGUCCACUUGUACUUAAUAAUCUGGAUCUAUACUGGCUGAUAGAUAUGUUUUAUCCUUUUUGUUUGUUGGAUCAUCUAUUGUGAUAUUAGCAUAUUAGUAUCAAUAAUUGAGAUCCAUUAUCUUUCAGGAUUGUUUAUAUUUUAAUGCUAUGAUAUUUUUUGUUAAUAAUUUAGUUUAGGACUUUGUUUCCCUUCCUUAACCUUUAUCAUAAGUGAUCUGGAGUAUUUGGACCAAGACAUAACAAAGUCAGCAAAGUCAUGUAACAAAACAUAACAAAGUCAGGAACAUUUGGACUCAAGAGAGAUCAUGUACUUAAAUAAUAAUAAUCGCAAUGCCCCUUAUCACAAUGCACACUGCCGGCGAAUAAGAGCAAUCUGAUCUCAGAAACCACUCGAAUAGAUUGUGGCAUCUAUUCAAUAUCAUGUUUAAUAAUGUAGAAGACUGUCUAGAGAUUCAAUAUCAUCUUGUCAAAUGCUGAUUGUGUUUUAAUGUGUGUUUUGCGUGCACGUGUUCGUGCAUUCGUGUGUGUUAUGCGUUUGUCCCUCAAGAGUUGCAUGAUGAGGGUACUGUCUGUGACAACCCAAAUUUUUAGAAGUUAUUAAAAUAAGAAUUUAAUAAUUAAAAUUCUUAUUAUGAGAUGUUUUGAGUUUGAGUAUGUAUAUGUAUGUGCUGUAUAUUUUGAAAUAUGUGAUCUGGUAUGAAGAGAAAUAUAUAUUCAUAUAUUGGGAAAGUGAGGUUUAAUAGUACCCUGAGUUAUUUGUUUAAUCUGUAUUUUCGAUUCUGGGGACAUAAUCUUUGUACGGAGGGAAGAAUGUGAUAAUCCAAGAUUUUCGUAAUUGUAAUUUAAAAUAUUUAUUUAAAUGAAAUAAAUAUUUUAUUUAUGUGGUUAUUGGUAGUAAAUAUUUAUGACUAGAUAAUAUUCUAAAUUAAAUUAAUUUAUAAUUUAGAGAGUUGUAAUAUAACAUGAGAUGUUAUAUUGCUGUUUUAAUUUAAUAAUUUAAGAUGAUAUGAUAAGUUAUUAAAUAAAAAUUAUAAUGAGAUUAUAAUUUUGUGAUAUUUGUUUAAGUAGAAUAUUUAUUUUAAAUAUAGUAUGUGUAAUUAAUUUAUUUGAUUAUUAUUGGAUAUGGAAAUCCAAAUAAAUAAUAUGUGAUUAUAAAUUAUAAACUAAAUUGCUUAUUAAAAUAAAUUAAUGGAGUUUAAUUUAGUUUUUGCCAAACAAGGCUUAAAUAUAUUAAGUCUUUAAAUUUUAAAGAGUUUUGCCAAACAAAGCCUUAUGACUUUUGGAUUUUUAAUUUUUUAAUUUGUAAAUAAUAUAAAUAGAAUAAAUAAAAUAAUAAAUAUAAUAUAUUUAUAACCUAUACGUUUAUUAGCUUGUAACUGAUACAAUAAGUAUGCGUAUUAUUAUUGGUUAUCAGUUUGGUUUUUACGCAUAACUUAGUUACUAAGCUUAGGAAGAAAAUUGAGAAUUCAGAGAGGAGCUUGAGAGAGAAUUGAGAGAGAACCUAAGGAUUUCAAAGGUCUUUCAGUGGUGUUAGCAAGGAUUCCAAGCUAUUUGAAGGUAUUUCUUUAACACCUUAGUACUAUAUAUAUACGGAUAUACAUAUAUGAGUUUACGGCAAAAAAAAAAUUUAUGUUCUGUGAAUUUGAUUUUUCUGGAAUUGUUGCUCUACAACUAAAUUAUUGCAAUUGUAAGUAAUUGUAAUGCUAGAGUUUAUGUUUGAAUAGGGAAUUGCAUGUUAAUUUCGUGUAAGAGUGGGAAAAAUAAUGGCAGUGUUUGUAUUUUCUCAUAUGUCUUGUAAAAGUACCAAUUUUAGUGGUCAAUUUGUAUGUUAAACUGUAAAUUGAGUUUUGAUUAUGCUAGUUCGUUAAGAAACAAAGAUAACGUAGGUUGAACGAUGUGAUUCAGUGUAUAAUUUUAAUCAUAGUGAUGAUUUUUGUGAAAGAUGUUAAAAAUGGAGUUUGCAUAUAAAAAUAUGGAAUUUGGAAAAUUAAACUAGUUUAAGUUGUUGUUAAACUGUUCUAAUUGGUUUAAUAUGUUAGCAAACAUGUUUGUAAUAGUUUUAUACCAAUUGUAUGUGUUAAUAUUACUAUUUUGAGGGUGAAAUUCGUGUUAGUUGGGCUAAAAACGACUACUGUUCACUACUGUAUCUGGUUCUGUCUAUGCAUUGGCGCAUCUGCGCCGGUGCCAUGGCCAGAAACAACGCUGCUGCGCUGGUCCCAGGCUUAUGUAUGGCGCAGCUGCGCCAUACACCGAUCUGUGGCAGUGGUUUCUUCUACUGCUGCAAACCUGAGAUACCACUAUAACUUCGUCUCAGGUCAUGUUAAAACAUAAUCGUGUCAUGUCAUUGAUAAUUUUAAGUUGUAGAAGGAUUUAUAAGUUAUGAACUUGAUAUGUUAUAACUUAGUGUACACAAUGAAUGUUAGAUAAGUGUUGUGAAGUCAACACUUGGAAUUUCUGAUAUUUAUAUGGUAGCAUAAGAUUUGUACUAAAAUAACAAGUUUAGCUAGAAGUGAGUGUUAUGUUGGAAAGUGGAAUGUAAUGAGAAGAAAAAGGAAUUUUAAUGUAAUUAAACUGAUUAAACAAAGAGACGUCGUAACAAGACUUAAACACUAGAUUGAACAUCGAGUGACGAUUAGAAAGAAAUGUUUUGAAAUAAAAGGAAGAGAAGAGUCAAUGCAAUCUAAUUGACUUCAUUGUGUAUAUGUAACUGAUGCUUGUAUAUAUGAACUUCUAAACUAUUGUAGGAUAAACGCAAGGUAGUAAGCUGUAGUUGGUAAGCAACGAAUUAGGCAAGUCUUUCAGUUCCUAUCUGCUAUGUGAACUUGGUGAUUAACUAUUUUAAAUAUUUAAUUUCAAAGAGCAUGAUGUGUUAUAUAUAUGUUGAAUGUAUGAAACGUUAAAGUCAACUUAUGACUACGUUGAUUGAGUAAAGCAUGAUGAUUGAGUAAGGAACUCAAUCUUUAUACUUGUUAUAUGAACUGUAGCAUGUAUGUUAUGUUAGUCCAAUGUUUAUGAGAUAUAUGUUGAGUAUGUUAUUAUGUGCUACGUGAUGCAUGAAAACUGUUAGAUUUUGCUUGGCUGUCAAGCUCAACCUUGCAAAUUACCAUUUUUGCAGGUCAAAAUUUCAAGGUAAGGAUUUGUGCUAAGUUAAUUAUAAGAAUCCAUAUUUGCGAAGUUUUCUUAUGUUUUAUGAGAAAAGUAUUUAAUAUUUUGAAUGUAACAUGUGCGUUGAAUUGUAAGUUGAGUUGUCCGGUGUAUUUAGAUAUCUAUUUAUGAUGUAAGACUUUGUAUAGUCAUUUUGUUGUAAUGAUUCAUUAGAUGUAUUAGAGGUUUUAUGAUGUACAGUUUUAUGUUGAGUUGUAAAGCUAAAGUUAGAGUUAUCUGAUAUGUAAAGGUUAUUGGAUUGAAAUGUAAAAUUUUAAAUAACAAUAGUGAUAAAGUGAAUCAUAAAAUAAGAUUGAUUCAAAGACAUGUAGAUGAUAAAGGUUUUGAUUCAGGGAAUCAAAGUAAGAAGACAUAAAAGUUUAAAUUAUUCCGCAUUUUAUAAAGUUUAACAUCGAAUAAUGAUGUAAAAUCAGAAGGUAGAUGUGUUAUUAACGAUCAAUGUUAAGAAUUUAAUUGUAUGAAUUUUGGGGUCGUUACACUGUCCUUGUACAAUUCUUCACCUAGAGUGUCAAGUUCAACUAUGGCUUCCUCAAAAGCCUAUACAGUAUACACAUAAAUAUAGACAGAAAUCAAUAAUGACAUUCAAAACGCUUGAAAACUAAAAAAAGUCUGAACCAUCCACCAGCUAGCUUAAUUUUACUGCUAUAGGAGUGUUAAAGAAAAACUUUUGCUCACUAAUUUUGACUUAGGAUGAAACUUAUGCGUAAGUAGCACUUCAUCAAUAAUAACAUAGUCGCCAGUAAAGUGCAAUAUCAGCAAAGUAGUUAUGCCUUUGAUGUUGUUUUGAUGUCAUCCUUUAUUAUCCCUUAACCCGUGUUUUCUAUGUUGUACUCAUGUUUAGCCUUCUACCAUACUGUUUGUCCAAAUUACUUAAUAUUUUUUUUCCUUGUGUACUAUAAUCAGUUUGUAAUUGCUUUCGGUGCAUAAACUAAACUAUCUGUCAGAGAGGAUUGUUUCAUUAGCAUUAGAUGUUAUUAACAGUUGAUUCUACAUGUUUCAUUAGCAUUUGAUGUUAUUACCUUGUUGGUGGAUUCCUUGUCUAAAUCUUUGACAAUAUUUUUACAUUAUCAAGUCUGAUUUUAUAUGGUUGGCUUCUCUAUGCUUUUUCCAAUUUUCUUUUAUUUGUCUAUACAUCAAUAUUUAUAGUUUUAAUUGCUAAUUGAUGUGCAUUUUUUGUGACUUGCAAAUGUAUUUAAUGUACAUAUUUAACUCUUGUACAUGUUUUGGAUUUUAGACAGAAUAUAGUACUGAGGUUGGCAGUCCUGCAGAGGACGGUACACCAAAGGUAGAUGACUUGGCUAUUUGGAUUUAGAAAACUUGUGGGAUUAAGAAAAAGGAUACUUGGUUUUUUAGGAUAUCGCGCACGAGACGUGCUCAGUACUCCUCCUAUAGUGCCGCCGAGUAUAGGUUAUUCUUCACCGCAACAAUCUACUGAUCCUAAGGAAUUGGAGAAUAUGAUUGACAAGAUUGUCCUCCGUCGAUUGGGUAUAAAGUCUAUGGAUGAUACUUCUACCAAUGAUAGUACACCACAACCGUCCAUUGGUAUAGAUAUUACUUAACAUGUAACUAAGUUGGUAGAGAAGAAGUUUACCAACUUCCUUCAAACAUUUACCAACUAUGAUUCACUUGAGGUAUUUACUAAUAACUAUAUUUUUGUCUUUGUCCUUCAUUAAUAUCUCUCUAUCUAUUAAUUUAGGUUCACCAGGUUUAUUUUUUCUUAUUCCUCAUAUUGUUGAAAUUGAAUUUUGGUGUUUCUUUUGUAGGAGGAACUUUACAGGCCCAACCUUGAUUUUCUUGAAGAAAAUGAUGAUGAAGUGGACCUAACAUGAUGUACACUUUAUUCCUUCUAGCUCGUUAUUUUUUCAGUUUUGUUACGUUAGUUAUUAAAUAUUGUAAGUACUAUGAUCUUUGGGAGUUCAAGAUACGAUAACAAAUUAUGUACUUAUCGUGACAUGAGCAUUAUCGAUUUAUAUAUGGA
rnacentral:lncRNA from 1 species